UUCAGUUAGAGCAGGAAAUUGUCCUUGCCUA
rnacentral:piRNA from 1 species